rnacentral:rRNA from 1 species
UUCUUCGGGAGCAGAGACCGGCGCACGGGUGCGUAACGCGUAUGCAAUCUACCUUUUACAGAGGGAUAGCCCAGAGAAAUUUGGAUUAAUACCUCAUAGUAUAAUAGCUCGGCAUCGAGCAAUUAUUAAAGUCACAACGGUAAAAGAUGAGCAUGCGUCCCAUUAGCUAGUUGGUAAGGUAACGGCUUACCAAGGCUACGAUGGGUAGGGGUCCUGAGAGGGAGAUCCCCCACACUGGUACUGAGACACGGACCAGACUCCUACGGGAGGCAGCAGUGAGGAAUAUUGGACAAUGGGCGCAAGCCUGAUCCAGCCAUGCCGCGUGCAGGAUGACGGUCCUAUGGAUUGUAAACUGCUUUUGUACAGGAAGAAACAGUUCUACGUGUAGAACCUUGACGGUACUGUAAGAAUAAGGAUCGGCUAACUCCGUGCCAGCAGCCGCGGUAAUACGGAGGAUCCAAGCGUUAUCCGGAAUCAUUGGGUUUAAAGGGUCCGUAGGCGGUUUAAUAAGUCAGUGGUGAAAGCCCAUCGCUCAACGGUGGAACGGCCAUUGAUACUGUUAAACUUGAAUUAUUAGGAAGUAACUAGAAUAUGUAGUGUAGCGGUGAAAUGCUUAGAGAUUACAUGGAAUACCAAUUGCGAAGGCAGGUUACUACUAAUUGAUUGACGCUGAUGGACG